rnacentral:rRNA from 1 species
ACGCGAAGAACCUUACCCAGGCUUGAACAGCGAGUGACCAGCGAUGAAAGUCGCCUUCCGCAAGGACACUCGUAGAGGUGCUGCAUGGCUGUCGUCAGCUCGUGUCGUGAGAUGUUGGGUUAAGUCCCGCAACGAGCGCAACCCUUGUCCUCUGUUGCCAUCACGUUAUGGUGGGCACUCUGGGGAGACUGCCGGUGAUAAACCGGAGGAAGGUGGGGAUGACGUCAAGUCAGCAUGGCCUUUAUGUCUGGGGCUACACACGUGCUACAAUGGCCGGUACAAAGCGUCGCGAGCCCGCGAGGGGGAGCUAAUCGCAGAAAGCCGGUCUCAGUUCGGAUCGUAGGCUGCAACUCGCCUGCGUGAAGUCGGAAUCGCUAGUAAUCGCGGAUCAGCACGCCGCGGUGAAUACGUUCCCGGGCCUUGUA